rnacentral:rRNA from 1 species
UACGUAGGGGGCAAGCGUUGUCCGGAAUCAUUGGGCGUAAAGCGCGUGUAGGCGGCCCUGCAAGUCGGGUGUGAAAUCCCACGGCUCAACCGUGGAAGUGCACUCGAAACUGCAGGGCUAGAGUCCUGGAGAGGAAGGUGGAAUGCUUGGUGUAGAGGUGAAAAUUCGUAGAUAUCAAGCGGAACACCGGUGGCGAAGGCGGCCUUCUGGACCAGUGACUGACGCUGAGGUGACGAAAGCGUGGGGAGCAACAGG